rnacentral:lncRNA from 1 species
AGGAGUCUGGGCGGCAUCUUCCUGCAAUUAAAGUAAGGUGCGAAGUCCGGCUCCCGUAGGAGUCCGGACGGGGUUUAUCAUUAGUCGAAGUUGGCGAUGGAGCCUGGCUCUCGUAGGAGUCCGGGCGGAACUUACCAUCGGUUGAAGUUGGUGACAGAGCCCGGCUCCCGUGGGAGUCCGGGCGGAGUCCUCCUUGUGGUAGAAGUCGCGGACGGAGCCCGGCUCCCGUAUGAGUCCGGGCCUUCGAUUUUGCUCAAGCUAGGGCGAGGUUUUUCUCCCGUCCUUAGCAGGGCUGUGGGGGCGCAUGUGGGCGUUGC